rnacentral:tRNA from 1 species
GAGGGUAUAACUCAGUGGCAGAGCGCUUGCUUAGCAUGCACCAGGUCCUGGGUUCAAUCCCCAGUACCCCCA